GCCGGAGUGGCGAAAUUGGUAUACGCACUAGAUUCAAAAUCUAGCGAGCUUUACGCUCAUGGGAGUUCGAGUCUCCCCUCCGGCA
rnacentral:tRNA from 2 species